AUCAUGAUGAUCAACAAGGGACUUAAUACUGAUAUGUGAUGUCACCUUUAUUAUUCUGAAUCUGA